CAUGCCACUUGCACUCCAGCCUGGGCGACACAGUGAGACUGUCUCAAAAAAAAAAAAAAAAGUCACUUAAUUAUUUAUUCGAUAAAUGGUAAACGCUACUAUGCAUCACGUACAGUCCUAAGUCCUGAGUUGGAGAAGUUCCAGGGUUAGUCAAUUGAGAGAAUCAAAGACAUUAGGGACCACUUUUUCUUUUUACCCUCUUUAGAGUGUUUUAGGGCACUGAACUUCAUCUCCUCAUUCCUACCCUCCUGGUCUUAAGAUGGUCUCUGCAGUUUCUCGUAUUAUAUUAAUAUCAUUACAAGAUCUCAUCCACAUACAAAAAGCAGCAUUUUCAACUUCUUUAAUGAGAAGCAUGUUCAGCCAGCAAAGAAGAAGAAGAAAAAUGGUUAUAGACAAGCAACCAACAGUAUCUGCCAUAGCUAUUUUAUAGCUGUUUAAACUUGGCUGGGGGUGAAAGAUGCCCUUCAGUGUCCCAAAUGAGAGAAGAGAAUUUUAAUUGGGAGUGGCCAAGGUUCACAAUUUCAGCCUGGAGGAAAGUAAAUUAAAGAGGGAAAUUUGGAUACACAAAGAGAUGCCAGGGAUUAACCUACCCAGAGGAAAGGCCACGUGAGGACACAGCAAGAAGGUGGCCGUCUGCAAGCCGAGAGAGGCCUCAGAAGAAGCCAAACCUGCUGAU
rnacentral:lncRNA from 1 species